AAAAAAAAAAAAAAUAAAAAAACCACCCUACCCACCCCCCUUUUCUCUAAUUCCCAAUGAACACAUACACACACAUAAAAAGUGCAUGCAUAUGUACCAGCUUGAUAGCAUUUUGGUUAGGUUAGUGUCAUUGGAUGACGUGGAAUUACUGGUCUAUCAUUUAAGAAUCUGCCUUUUACAAGGUAUUGACUUGAGAAUAAAAUGAAUAGGAAUUUGAAAUAGUCUAUUUUCAAGAUAGGUUCAUGUGAAAACUGUGAAUCUGUUAAUUUAAAUUUUAUCUAAUAACUUUCUAGUUUUUCCAGCAAGGCAAAUUGCUCAUUACAUUCUGUUUCAGGGUUGACAAACUUGAAAG
rnacentral:misc_RNA from 1 species